CGUCCAUCCCUCAGGAAACCUGGACUCGGCUGGAGCUGGACUCCGGCAACUGUUGAUGCAACUCUGAUCACUUAAUCUUUGGAUGGAUCUUUGCUUGGCUGCUGUAUGCAGAAUCCCACCCCUUUGCUCACUCUGCACCAGCCCAGUAACCGGAUUGGCAGGAGGUGGAGGAUGGAGUGGUGGGAGAUCAAAGUACAGUACCUAAGAAAAUAUCAGGAGCUCUCAAGUGAAAUGAAUGUACAGAGGUACAGGGGGCAGAUUAACAAAACCAUUACGAAGAAAAGAUCCAACCAGCAAAGACAAUGCUCAUCUCCUCUUCUUGAAGGCACCCCAGGCUUCGCCAGUCAUUCACGGUGUAUUUCUCUUGUGCUUUGGGUGAGGCGGGAAGAGAAGCACCCAUCUCCCUCGAAACUCUACUAGACUGAAAACACACGAUGCAGACGGGUCUCUCCUUCCUCUUUCCUCAAGCAUCCAUUGAUGAAU
rnacentral:lncRNA from 1 species